rnacentral:rRNA from 1 species
CAGCAGCCGCGGGAAAACGAAGGGGGCUAGCGUUGUUCGGAUUUACUGGGCGUAAAGCGCACGUAGGCGGAUCGAUCAGUCAGGGGUGAAAUCCCAGAGCUCAACUCUGGAACUGCCUUUGAUACUGUCGAUCUGGAGUAUGGAAGAGGUGAGUGGAAUUCCGAGUGUAGAGGUGAAAUUCGUAGAUAUUCGGAGGAACACCAGUGGCGAAGGCGGCUCACUGGUCCAUUACUGACGCUGAGGUGCGAAAGCGUGGGGAGCAAACAGGAUUAGAUACCCCAGUAGUCCCUGUCUCUUAUAC